UACGUAGGGUGCGAGCGUUGUCCGGAAUUAUUGGGCGUAAAGGGCUCGUAGGCGGUUUGUCGCGUCGGGAGUGAAAUCCACUGGCUUAACUGGUGGCUUGCUUUCGAUACGGGCAGACUGGAGGUAUGCAGGGGGAGAACGGAAUUCCUGGUGUAGCGGUGAAAUGCGCAGAUAUCAGGAGGAACACCGGUGGCGAAGGCGGUUCUCUGGGCAUGUCCUGACGCUGAGGAGCGAAAGUGUGGGGAGCGAACGGGG
rnacentral:rRNA from 1 species